UAGCAGGAAGGAGAAGUGUUCGAUGUGGUGCUGAAUUUUACGGUUGCUCACAAUGGCCGCGAGACGACUGCAAGUUCUUUAUGUGGAAAAGAGAUUUCGACAAAUUAUUCGAAGUUCAUUCAACUUGCAGCUCAAGUGCAGUUACAAGAAGUGAUGCUAUGACCGGGAAUGAAUAUAAUUUGCAAUUGCGGAACAACUUGCUAUCUCAAGAGAACAAUAUGUUGAAACGACAAAUUUGUGCGAAAGAAUUCAUGUUGAAGCAGCAGUUUGUGUUUAGUUUGUUUGUUAUCAUUGCCAUGUUGUUUUACAUAGUGUAUCGAAUUUAACUUGUUUUUUAUUGUAAGUUCUUUGACAUGAAUGAAUGUAGUGAAGUUGGGCUUUGAUGUCUUUAUUUGUA